UCGAACAUCGUUGAUAAAAAAGUCAAGAAGGAAGAAUGUAAAAGCGGUGAAAAACAAAACAAACCUACUGAAAUCAUCAUUCUUAAAUUCUAUUAUUUCCUUAAACUAUCUUAAAAUUACAAUAAAAGUGAAUUAGCGAUUAGCGAUAGUUGGUUCAUGUGUGAGUAAAAUCAGAGUGGACUAUUGUACAUACAAAGCUAGUACGAGUAUUAAACACUAGAACAGGAGUUAGUAAACUAAAUCCAAAGCUCUACAUCCAACUAUCAACUAGCGAACCCUUACAAACCAUUGGUAGCACGAGGCGAUAGGAAGAAACUAUUGAUUUUUUAGCUGCUACUACUAAGCUGCUCAAAAAAUAUAGUGCACCUUUUCUAAAAGAAAAAUCCGAACA